GAAUGCGAGUGCCAAGUGGGCCACUCUUGGUAUUCAGGACUGGCGAUGCGGGAUGAACCGAACGCCGGGUUAAGGCGCCCGACGCGACGCUCAUCAGAGCCUACAAAAGGUGUUGGUUGAUUAUUUGUUGUUGAUUGAUUAUUUGUUGUUGAUUGAUUAUUUGUUGUAGAUUGUUUGUUGUUGAUUGUA
rnacentral:ncRNA from 1 species